AGGGCGUUCAUUUUGUUUUUUAAAUCACAGCAGCUAUUUUGGCGGGAGUUUUAAUGUAAAGCACAUAACGAGUUUUGGUGCUAGUAUCUAUGUCAACCCAUAGCUAUUCACUUAUAUACCAGGUAAUGCUAUAUGAGUACUCUCUCUUUAUCUGAGAAGGAUAAAGGUCUGGGCCUGCAGUCGAAGAUGGAUUGUUUUGGAUACUCCUGGUGCAUGUGGAUGGAUUCCAAACUAAUGCUUCUAGCAACCAUCUGACAUUUCUCAAGGCACACCACCACAACAUACUCUCAUGUACAAAUUGUAGAUCAUAAAUCAAGAUGUCAUGGCAAAUACUUGGAAAUAAUGACUGGAACACAGAAGAUUAGUGCUGGCUAAGAAUAUCUGCCCAUAUGCCAGUAAGUCACACCAAC